CACACCCUAAAAGAGGGAGUUGCAGGGUUUUCUCUGUUAAGGGAAAACAGCCAAAAGAAGACAUCUUACUCUCUCUUCACUGCGGGAAGAACACCAGGCAUAUUCCAUGGACAGCCAGAGCCGGUGAAAGCAAAGCCCUCUCACUGCAUCCCUGGAAUAGCUGAGAAUCUGCCCUUGAAUUUCAUAGAUGGUGAUUCGCAGAAUGUCUGUGCAAUGUACUUGGAGAAGGGCUGCUGGGUGACUGACCAAGCUGUCCAGGGCCAUCCGUCCCUCCCAGAGAAGCUCAGCUCUCCCCUUGGAGAGUAAAGCACAGUAACACAAGGAUAUGUGGAUGGACAACUGGCCUUUUAAAGGACUCAGAGAAGCAUUAGACGAAGAUAUUUCUUCAAGAGCAGCAGCUACAUCUUUGUUGGGUGUCCUUGAUUCUAAGUUCCCGAAAGAGAGGGUCCACGUCUUAUUAGAAUUUAGUAUCCCUGCGCCUGGCUGCUGGCCCGCCGUUGAUAACCAAUAAAUGUUUGUCAGCUGAACCGACUGAACUGAAAACCCCUCUAACUUGGCAGACUUUGCAAGUAUAAGGCAGCUUCUGAAAUCUCUGUGAGCAAUUUCACCCCCCUCUGCUCCUUUCCACUACAUUUCUUGGAGUUCCAGUCUACACAGAAGCUGUUCAGGAUUAAUUUCCAGCCACUAUGAAAGCCAUGAACUCUGGGCUCUGUCUCCUGAAUCCAGUGUGACUGCUACCUUCCACUUAGGCUGUAUUCUCAGAAUUGCUGCUGAUUUUCCAGAUGUUCUCUCCUGUGAAGCUUUGUCUUUUAAAGGUACGUGUUCUUUCCAGGAUGAAUCAGUCUCUUCCAUUCCCUGAAGCAUUACUUCCAUCAGUCAAGCCAUUUUUCUGAUCCUCAUGCAACCUUCCUUAAACUGAGUACAACUCUUUCGAACACCGAAUUGAGCAACUGAUAAAGAUUGAGGCUGGGCGGAGGCAGAGCUUGGCUGCUCACUACGGAAGCCAGAUGGACCCAUCGUCCCUCUCGGCCCACCAGCAGGGUGCCCCGGCUUGAGUCUUUGAACCCAGGAUAAGUGGGGUAAAGAUGAAGAGAUGACAGAGCUAGUCUUCAUGGGGCAGUGACCUGGGACCAUGGCUGUUGGCAUCAACAAUCUUGCAGCAGUGGUGCUGGUCCGGUGAGCCCGACCCAGGUUGUUUCUGAGGCGUGACAGCUGCAUUUUGCUAUUGCCGAGCUCUUUCUGGUUCCUGACCACUUUCUGAGACCAGGUCUUUAGCUUUUCCAGCAUUUCUGUGAGUUCUCCAAUAUCUUUACAAUAAAGCCUUCUACAGUUGCCAGAUUUGACUUCUCUUGUUUCAGCUAAGAUGGUGUCAUUGUCUUCGAAACGAUCCCUUGAGGCUUUGGCUUGUGAGUGGGACCCUUCUUGAGUUCCUGGUGGUAGCACCGAGCUGUGUAUGUACUCAUCUGUGGGUUGUUAUAUAGAUAUUAUUGGAAGAUGCCAGAGAAAAGGAGAUCAAAUGUGUCCGUGUAAUUCAUUGUCUUAAUCUGGGUCCUUUUUCUAUGAACAGCACUGUUUUGGUUCAAGGGCAUUCAGGAAGGCAGACUCUUGCUGGUAUCUGGCUUGAACCAGGAACGCUUCAGUUUUAAACACUCCCGUGCCUUUUUCUCCCCAGUAAGUUCAUUUCCACAUCAGACACGGUUACAAAUUCUUCUCUGUAGGCUGAGAACCAUGUUUUGCCUUGUCCUGUGUGUCUCUGUCAAAUAUAUUUUUUAUCAUGCAUGCCCACCACUUGUAACCACAGCUCCUGCUGCUUAGGCUACGUUGCCAUGGUUUAUAAUAAAUGAUUCUGUUCCUUGUACCCAAGUGCCCCAAAGCUACCUGAAAACCAGAAUUGUGCUAGGGCACAGGGAGCAGUGGGUCACGGGUCAGGGGAAAGCAGGCGUGUAGGCUACGGCUGGCCUCUUAGGGAUCUCCCAGCAUCUUUGCCUCCAGUAAGACA